rnacentral:rRNA from 1 species
UACAGAGGGUGCGAGCGUUAAUCGGAAUUACUGGGCGUAAAGCGCGCGUAGGCGGCUUUGCAAGUCGGGUGUGAAAUCCCCAGGCUUAACCUGGGAACUGCAUUCGAGACUGCAUUGCUAGAGUAUGGGAGAGGGAAGUGGAAUUUCCGGUGUAGCGGUGAAAUGCGUAGAUAUCGGAAGGAACAUCAGUGGCGAAAGCGACUUCCUGGACCAAUACUGACGCUAAUGUGCGAAAGCGUGGGGAGCAAACAGG